UACGUAGGGGGCAAGCGUUGUCCGGAAUCAUUGGGCGUAAAGAGCGCGUAGGCGGUCCGGUAAGUCGGUUGUGAAAACUGGGGGCUCAACCCUCAGAGGCCGACCGAUACUGUCGGGCUAGAGUCCGGAAGAGGCGAGUGGAAUUCCUGGUGUAGCGGUGAAAUGCGCAGAUAUCAGGAGGAACACCAAUGGCGAAGGCAGCUCGCUGGGACGGUACUGACGCUGAGGCGCGAAAGCGUGGGGAGCAAACAGG
rnacentral:rRNA from 2 species